rnacentral:ribozyme from 13 species
AAGAAGAAAAAGGAGCAAGAGAAACUCUGACUGUCACAGUAUUUAUAUUUUCUCUUUUUUCCUUUUUAUUAUAAAUAGUUCCUUUUGAAGAUUUUGUGUGUUGGUAAUAUGUCCAACAGACUGGGCUUUUUCCUCCAGCAGAAAGAACAGGAAGAGAGGGAGAGUCAGACUGACCCAUUAAUUUUCUCUUUUU